AUGGCUUUCAUCGUGUCCAAGCUCGCGCGGGCAGCCUUCGCAUCCCGCUCAGUCAGAGGAGCGCGUCUCCCCCAGACUGCCGGCGCCAUCCGUCGCAUGUCCGCAGCUGCAGGCGGUUGCGAGUCAGAAGAAGAUCACAAAAACUUUCCCCCUGUUGAUACGAAUUUCAAUUUCAUCGAGUGGAUGGAAUCAUGCCGCUACGAGUCAGGAAAUGAUCCAAACUUUCCCCUCGUCGACGAGAAUUCCACCAAGUCCAAGGAGUCCCUGUGGGCCUUGUAUGAGAGCUGGUGCAAGUAUUAUGAAGUGUCCCGUGACCGUGAAGAGAUGGUCCGCCGGUUCAGGUCAUUUAAGGCCAGCGCGAUGCGGGUGUACAAAAUGAACAAUUCUGGUUCUUCGCAGGUGUCUCAGCUGUCCGCGUUUGCAGAUCUGACCAAGGCGGAGGCUGACUACGAGUAUAGCAGGUUACGAUGCCGUAAGCCAAAGUUCUCGCAAUACCGUGCUACUAGAUGA
rnacentral:rRNA from 1 species